AAGCUAAUCAUACCCUCCGAUUGCUUAACCAGACCGCCCUUAUCUAGAGGCGGUUU
rnacentral:ncRNA from 1 species